rnacentral:lncRNA from 1 species
AAGAGUCUGCGGUUUAUUUAAAUUGAAAUGAGGCGUCGGUUACUCCAAAAACUGACGUCUAUAGUCGCCUAAACGUCGAUUAUCAAACUAAUUCGACGACCAAGUUAACAUAUAAACUGACUUUUUCAAUGCCCAUUAGACGUCAGUUUAAAGGGGAGCCGAUAUCUAUAAUUGCAGAAAUGAAACCGAUUGACAUUUCAUUUCCUAUCAGGGAUGUUGACGACAGUUGUGAAGGGGCGCCGACGUCUAUAAUAAUUUAUACGUCGGUGCCCUUCUGACGGACGUCCGAGUUUGGUGAACAUAAUUAAUUACAAGCACAUAGACGUCUCUCCCUUUAAAAACCAAUAUCUAAAUUAGAGAAAUUUUUGUCUUCCCGCCUUUCAGACAGGCCAUAGACGUCGUUUUUUACUACAUGACGUCUAAGCGCCUGAGAAUUAGAUGAAGAACAUUA